rnacentral:rRNA from 1 species
GUCGAGCGAGAAAGGGGAGCAAUCCCUGAGUAAAGCGGCGUACGGGUGAGUAACACGUGGAUAAUCUACCUCUGAGUGGGGAAUAACUCUGGGAAACCGGAGCUAAUACCGCAUAAGCCUGAGAAGGGAAAGCAGCAAUGCGCUGGGAGAGGAGUCCGCGGCCGAUUAGCUAGUUGGUGAGGUAAUGGCUCACCAAGGCGGUGAUCGGUAGCCGGCCUGAGAGGGCACACGGCCACACUGGCACUGAAACACGGGCCAGACUCCUACGGGAGGCAGCAGUGGGGAAUCUUGCACAAUGGAGGCAAGCCUGAUCCAGCCAUGCCGCGUGAGUGAUGAAGGCCCUAGGGUUGUAAAGCUCUUUUGUGCGGGAAGAUAAUGACGGUACCGCAAGAAUAAGCCCCGGCUAACUUCGUGCCAGCAGCCGCG